rnacentral:tRNA from 1 species
GUUUUUAUAGUUGAAUAACAACGGGGGUUUUUCAGACCUCAAGUUCUGGUAUACCAGAUAAGAAU